rnacentral:rRNA from 1 species
GACGUAGGGCGCGAGCGUUGUCCGGAUUUAUUGGGCGUAAAGAGCUCGUAGGCGGCUUGUCGCGUCGAAUGUGAAAUCUCAGGGCUCAACUCUGACAUUGCAUUCGAUACGGGCAGGCUAGAGUUCGGUAGGGGAGACUGGAAUUCCUGGUGUAGCGGUGAAAUGCGCAGAUAUCAGGAGGAACACCGGUGGCGAAGGCGGGUCCCUGGGCCGAUACUGACGCUGAGGAGCGAAAGCGUGGGGAGCGAACAGG